UACGUAGGGUGCAAGCGUUAAUCGGAAUUACUGGGCGUAAAGCGUGCGCAGGCGGUUCGCUAAGACCGAUGGGAAAUCCCCGGGCUUAACCUGGGAACUGCGUUGGUGACUGGCGGGCUAGAGUAUGGCAGAGGGGGGUAGAAUUCCACGUGUAGCAGUGAAAUGCGUAGAGAUGUGGAGGAAUACCGAUGGCGAAGGCAGCCCCCUGGGCCAAUACUGACGCUCAUGCACGAAAGCGUGGGGAGCAAACAGG
rnacentral:rRNA from 1 species